GCCACCGCACACCGCCGCCCGCCGGCCCCCGUACGCACGGGGUGAAACUAAUUCUAGUUCUGCCCGCGCCCUCGCUGCUCCUCGAUUCGAUUCGAUCGAUUGGUUCAGGUGAGGCGACCUUUCCUCCUCUUCAGAUGCGCCCCCGCCGCCGCCGGCGACCCCGCUGGACGACGAGGACCUCCUCGCCGAGUUCCUUCUCCGCCUCCCGCCGCGGCCUUGCUCCCUCCCCUGCGCCGAAGCUGUCUGCAAGUCCUGGCGCCGCGUCGUCACCGAUCCCCAUUUCCUCCGCCGCUUCCGCGCGCACCACGGCACGCCUCCCCUCCUCGGCUUCUUCGACCCAUACGGCAGAUUCUUGCCCACGCUGAACCCUCCGGACCGCGUCCCUUCCGCGCGCUGGUCCUAUGCAGGAGAGGGUCCAAGUUACAAGUGCUCGAUGUCAUGACCGGCCACCGGUCCGCCAUAUCAACCAGCGAAGUCAAGCUACCACCUCAGCUGAUGUACUAUGCGGUCCCUUGACACCCUUGUUGUGGCAAUCCAUUUUCCUGGUUCCACGAGGAUGUCGGAAUCCUUGGUUAUGAUUUGCAAACACAGGCCUUUGCUAUCAUUGAUGUACUGUGGAGAGGCUAUGAAUAUGAUUGCAGAUAUCUGUUCAUGACGAAGGAUGGUCUCCUUUGUAUUGUCAUGUUAGAUGAAUAUGAGCACACCAUCCAAUUUUGGGUGUGGGAUACAGUUCUUAGCAGUGCUGCAAAGUGGGUGCUGCUUAAAGCUGUUUUGCUGGACAUGCCUCUCCCACUAGAACUUGUACAGUUGUAUUGGCCGGCGUUGAGAAUAGUGUGGUUUGAGGAGGAGAACAAUGUGAUCUUCCUGUGGACACAUACUGGCAUUGUCAUGUACUCAUGUUCAACCUGGAGUCCAUGAAGUGUAUGAAGGUGUCUGAAGAAAUUCGCUACAACAAAAUUUAUCCUUACUCAAGCUUCAUGACUGCACGUACUGCUGUCUUGUAGAGAUGUCAGCCUGUUGUCUGUUGAUGAGGUGCAUGAUAGAUUCACCGAGGCAAGUGAGUAAUUCUACAUUGUUAGUCUGUUGAUCAGAUGCAUGAUAGGAUUCAGCGAGACAAGUCCUACAUCUGUUCAGUAAAUCGGUUAGUCGAAGCAAGCAACAAGCCGGGAGCCAAUAUGACACUCCUCCAAGAAGGGGUGCUGUCCUGCUUUUAUUUUUCCUACGAAGUUUCCUUUAAACUUGUAUGCUUAACUUAAGCAUCCUAGCAGUAUGUAACCAGCUGGGAUUUGAUCUGAAUGUGUAUCACUGUAUCUUUAUCUUUUAUCGCAGACAUGGAUGUCUAGAACCCUAGAAUAGUGGCAGUAGUUUCAUGAGUGCCUGUAAGACUGUAACGGGUUGACUUCAGUCUUAGAUUCCCUGAUAUUGUUACUGCAAUCCAUUGUUCCAUGUUAUUUUUU